rnacentral:lncRNA from 1 species
UUCACUUUCUCUUUCUCUCACUACAGUUACUACCUUUGAUUUCCAUUUGUGUUUUAAUACAAUUUAAAAAUUAUAUUCAGCAAUUUCUUUUUUCAAGAAAUCAAAAACCAGGCACCCUUCCUCAUUCAUCUCUACAAUUUGAUAGUGACCCACGCAGCUCUUUUCCUCCAUUUUUUUUGCUUCCCCUUCUCCCAUACUGCACACAUUUUUCUGCAAAAUCUCUCAGAAAAAAGAGCAACAAAAAAAAAUUCCCAUUAAAAGAAAUUGUAUCUUUUUAUGGCAUAUCAGCUGCAAAAAAUAUAGAGAUUAGCAAGAAAGUGCUGUUCUCGUUUUUUGAGGUAUUUUCCAGUUCUUGAAUCUUGGUUGCUGAAUACGUAUAUUUGCUAAAAACCCUUUUGAUUUGCCUAUAUUUGUGUUAAGCCCUUAGGGUUUAUUUGAAGUUCAAAGCAGCUGUUAGUAGUAUUGGCCUAUUGGGUUUUCUGGGUUUGUAUUGUAGCUCAAUGUAGAAAAGGAUAAACACUAGAAUUAAAACAGUAAUUGUAGGUUUUUGGGUUGAAAGUUGAAACAAGAUUAGGUUUUUGAGAAGAAAAAAAAUAUUGAAUUUGAUCUGCCUAUAUUUGUGUAAACCCGUUAGGGUUAAUUGGGUCUUUUUUUUGGUUUGUGUUGUAGCUCAAUGUAGAGAAGGAUAAAGGCUACAACCAGAACAGCAAUUUUAGGUAUUUGGGUUGAAACGAGAUUUGGGUUUUUGGUGAAAAGAUUGAAUUUUUAUUUGUAAAGAUAGAAAUAUAUAUAAGUAUUGGAUUAUGGCUUUUGAUCAGAAUUCAAUUCCCAAAGACUUGCACCCGUUGAACAUUGUUAGGACAGUGCCAGAAGACUCUGGUAUUGCUUCUGUGACCACAUCUGGUAGACCCGUUGAGGGGUUUUAUGGUAACCCAACCCGGGAUGUUGGAGGUAGUCCUGGAACUAUACCUGGGGUUUAUUACCCUACCACUGUAGCGGAUGCUGGGUUUGUAGGAUUAGGGUUUACCAAUGCCGGCCCAGGAGCGACCUGUUGGGUCCCACAGGUUGUGCCUUCUCAGCCUCCUAGUGUUGUUAGUGUUGGCGUUAUGAAUUCGGGAAGUGGGUCGUCGAAGAAUCUGCAUUUCGGGGCACGUGUUGGUAGUAAUGCGUCUGAUCGUGCUAGUGAUGAUGGUGGUGAUGAUUCGGUGUCGGGGAGGAAAGUUAAGUUUUUGUGUAGUUUAACCGGUUGGGUCCCGCAAGUUGUGCCUUAUCAGCCUCCUGGUGUUGUUAGUGUUGGCGUCAUGAAUUCGGGAAGUGGGUCAUCGAAGAAUCUGCAUUUCGGGGCACGGGUUGGUAG